rnacentral:rRNA from 1 species
UACGAAGGGAGCUAGCGUUGUUCGGAAUCACUGGGCGUAAAGCGCACGUAGGCGGAUGUGUCAGUCAGGGGUGAAAUCCCGGAGCUCAACUUCGGAACUGCCUCUGAUACAGCACGUCUUGAGUCCGGAAGAGGUGGGUGGAAUUCCUAGUGUAGAGGUGAAAUUCGUAGAUAUUAGGAAGAACACUGGUGGCGAAGGCGGCCCACUGGUCCGGUACUGACGCUGAGACACGAAAGCGUGGGUAGCAAACAGG